GUAUCCCUACCGGAAGGUGGGGAUGGAUCACCUCCUUUCU
rnacentral:rRNA from 1 species